rnacentral:rRNA from 1 species
AUGGCUUCAGCAGGCCUCGCUCUCAAGGCGACCGCCAUCGCUGCCGUCCUUGCCAUGCUGGUCAUACCUUCAUCGGGCAGCUAUCCGUUGCCGGGGCCGGAACCACCAUCACCGGCCCCGGAAACGGCGCACUGGCCCGAGCCGACACCGCCACUGCCAGCGCCAGGGCCGUCGCCGUGGCCGGAGGUGGCACCAUGCAUGGCCGACUGCUACUUGGAUAAUUCGUGCAUAUCCGAGUGCUCAGGCUCCAUCAACCUGAUCUGCACCGUUUGCCAACUGAUGGAGGGUCCUCACUGCGGCGAGUGUAUGGUCGGCGAGUUCGACAGGUGCACAGCCAGCUGCACCGGCGGCAGCUGUGACUACUGCGGCGACGCCGCCCGCAGUGCAUGCGCCACCGCCUGUUCCUUCGAGGAAUGCAACUCGUGCAGGCAGGGGCGUCGCGAGGCGUGCAUGGCCAAGUGCGGCUCGCCGGCCGAUUGCUACACCUGCUUUCGCUCAUGGUCGUCACCGUCGCCAUCGCCGCCGCCGUCGUGGUAG